UCCCCUUUUUGACUUGAUUUUCUUCAAAGUAUUCUUGAUCCUCCUUCUUCUUGUGCAUGAUCUUCGUUCUUCAUAUAUAUUCUUCAUAUAUUACUGUUGUUUGACAUGUUUAAAAAUGGAGCUUUUGGGGUUAAAAAAUAUAUUAGCCCUUUUCGGGUUAAAAAUAUUGGACCCCUUUUACAGGGUUAAAAGUGAUCUUUAUUUUCAAAUAUGUGACAGCAGGAUUGUUGAAAAUAUGAUUGACAAUCGUGAUCUCUACAUGUAGUUUUUGGACAUAUAUUUUCAUUAUCAUCAAGUUUGUUGCAACUUUGUUCUCAACAUGUUCUCAAUCUGAACCAUCUGAUCAUUAAACCAUAGGCUCUGAAACCACUUGUUGGGUUCGAAAUCGAGAGGGCGUCAUACAGAAGCUAUUAGUUACAAACUAUCGUAG
rnacentral:lncRNA from 1 species